UGAUCCAUAUACCCUUGACUCACCUUUCUACCUACCACAUUCUGACUCAUUAUCACCACUACUUCCUCAGCCUGACCACUCUCCUCCAUUUACCCCACAAUCGCCUUCCAACCCUCUGCCACCUCCGGCGAGUUACGGCCUACCAACACCUCCACCACCGAGUAACAUCAUCAACAGCCCACCAACACCUCCACCACCGAGUAACAUCAUCCAUAGUCCGCCAGCAAAUCCACCGGAAGCAGCUUCUCCCGAGCAUGGGUUCAAUCCACCUAGCAUUUUCUCAAGUCCACCUCAACAUCAACCUAACCCACCAAAAAAUGUGUCAACGCCCCCUAAG
rnacentral:lncRNA from 1 species